rnacentral:rRNA from 1 species
UACAGAGGUCUCAAGCGUUGUUCGGAUUCAUUGGGCGUAAAGGGUGCGUAGGCGGCGCGGUAAGUCGGACGUGAAAUCCCUCGGCUUAACCGGGGAACGGCGUCCGAUACUGGAUGGCUUGAGUUUGGGAGAGGGAUGCGGAAUUCCAGGUGUAGCGGUGAAAUGCGUAGAUAUCUGGAGGAACACCGGUGGCGAAGGCGGCAUCCUGGACCAAAACUGACGCUGAAUAGCGAAAGCCAGGGGAGCAAACGGG